AGCAGUAGCCGCGGUAAUACGUAGGUGGCAAGCGUUGUCCAGAAUUAUUGGGCGUAAAGGGCUCGCAGGCGGUUUCUUAAGUCUGAUGUGAAAGCCCCCGGCUCAACCGGGGAGGGUCAUUGGAAACUGGGAAACUUGAGUGCAGAAGAGGAGAGUGGAAUUCCACGUGUAGCGGUGAAAUGCGUAGAGAUGUGGAGGGACACCAGUGGCGAAGGCGACUCUCUGGUCUGUAACUGACGCUGAGGAGCGAAAGCGUGGGGAGCGAACAGGAUUAGAUACCCCUGUAGUCCCUGUCUCUUAUAC
rnacentral:rRNA from 1 species